rnacentral:SRP_RNA from 1 species
GCCAGGGAUGGUGGCGUGUGCCUGUAGUCCCAGCUACUCGGGAGGCUGAGGUGGGAGGAUCGCUUGAGUCCAGGAGUUCUGGGCUGUUGUGCGCUACGCCGAUCGGGUGUGCGCACUAAUUUCGGCGUCAAUAUGAUGACCUCCUGGGAGUGGGGGACUACUAGGUUGCUUAGGGAGAGGUGAACUGGUCCAGGUUGGAAAUGGAGCAGGUCAAAACUCCCGUGCUGAUCAGUAGUGGGAUCACGCCUAUGAAUAGCCACUGCACUCCAGCCUGGGCAACAUAGAGACCCCGUCUCU